ensembl:lncRNA
GUAGGGAUGUUUGUACGCUCUUGCUAGGAAUGUAGAGCAGGACCACGCUGUUCAGUUAUUUUAAGAGUGUCUGUCAAAACCUAAUGUGAUUACAUCUUUUGUUCUAACAACUCCAGUUGUAGCUUCCAUACUCCCAUACUCAAAGCUACACACUCAAAGAUGCUCCAUUCAGCUGUGUGUGUGUGUGUGUGUGUGUGUGUGUGUGUGUGUGUGUGUGUGUGUGUGUGUGUGUGUUUAAUGUCAAAAUGUUGCAAACAAUCUAAAUCCCUAUUAGGGUGACAGAAAAAAAAUCUCAUGCCCUUAUCCUUAUGUCAAAAUACAAAAGAACGAGGAAGUCCUUUGUAUUGUGACAACGUUGGAAAGACGUUAUUGUGAGGCCAUAAAAAAUAAAUUAAAUAAACCACCAGGCUCUGUGUGCAAUGAGUUUCUGCUGGGCAGCACAUCACACUGUCUCAGUGCUGAGUAUGAGUGCCCAGAGAAGAAAAGGGAAUUUCAAAUUCCUGUGUUUGUUUUGAAAAAUAAAUGAAAGGAAAUGACAACAGGAAAACGAACCCUUCCAAAUCCCUGCUGAUGUUCUAGAAGCGAUGGGAGUUUGAGUCUUUGGAGAAUCAAUGCUUCUCAAUUCUGCCUUUAUCACAAAAAUCACUUGAGAGAUUUAAAAAAAAAUACACUUAGCUUAACUCAGCUUCUAUAAGAAGCAAAGCCUGUGGCAAGAAUUAAAAAGCUGGAACUUUAUUCGGGUGGUCCCAGCCCAGGAAAACAAAGAUAAGGAAUAAAGGAAGUGGGUAAGGGAAGAUGUGAUUAGACCUUAAUGGUUAUGUUUGCUAAUUGAGUGUCCAGCUUGGCGCAGGUUAGAGUCAUUUGAGCGAUAGGAACCUCAAAUGAGAAAACGCUUCCCUCCAUUAAAAUCAGGCUGCAGACAAGCCUAUAGGGUACUUUCUUAAUUAGUGAUUGAUGUGGGAGGGCCCAGCCCAUUGUGGGUGGGGCUAACCCUGGAGUGGUGGUCCUGGGUUCUAUAAGAAAGCAGUUGGAGCAAGCCAUGGAGAGCAGGCCAGUAAGCAGCACCCCUCCAUGGCUUCUGCAUCAGCUUCUGCCUCCGGGUUUCUGCUUUGGCUUCCUUCAAGGAAGGACUUGAUGUGGAAUAAUUAUAAACCAAAUAAACCCUUUCCACCCCAACUUGCUUUUGGCCCCUGGUGUUUCAUCACAGCAACAGUUAAACCUAAUUAAGGCACCUGCUGAACAUCACACAAAUUUGGAAGAGACAAAGCAAUUGCUUGACAGAGUUUCUGUAGUUGUUUGAGAAGCCACACCUCGGAGUAAUCCACAGAAAAGAGAAGGAUGGGGAACCUAGUUUCUUCCUGUCAUCUUUUCCUCCAUCAAGGUUCUUCUCAAGAUAUUCCAAGGAUUCCAUAAAUCAAGAAAAAAUUAUCUCAAAAUAAAGUGUUCAACACGUCUCUACGUGAACCGGGCAUACAAGCCAGGUGUACAGUGUGCUGCAGAAUGAUGGAGUGAGCUGUAAAAGUCUCCCCUGGGGACUUAUCAUUUAUUAUCUGUUAUCAUCAGAUAAAGGGGGGAAACGUGAUAAGAAUAACAGAACCCAGAUGUGAAGAACAUAUAUGCCAAGUAAAAAAUUUUAAGCAUGUGUAUUGUAGAUUUGGGGUUCCGAAGAUUAUAUUUAUUGAUGAUGAUCCUGAAUUAAAUAUGGAGGAAUUCUCAGAAGCCGUAUAAGAGCGAAGACUUAAUAUUCUGUGUGUGAAGUGUCGGCUGGAAUCUGUGUCUAGACUUAGCAGUCUCCAAGCUUGUUGUUAUCAGCAACAACUCAGGUUCACGGAGCGUUAGAAGUUUACAAAAGAAAGUACAAGUGAGAGCUAAGUGGGUUUUCCAAAAAGUUUAAAUAUUGUGUCUCUGUCUGGGCUGUGCACAUGAAUCCCGAUGGCCACAGAGGUCAGAAAAGGUUAUUGGAUCCCCUUCAUCUGGACUUACAGGCACCUGAGAUGGGUGCUCAGAAUUGAACUCAGGUCCUCUACGAGAAUGGUACAUCACUGGGCCAUGUCUCCAGCUCCUUAACUAGGUUUUUUGUUUGUUUGAUUUUUUUUGUUUCCACGUUCUUAUUACAACUCUGCUUCUCCUUUUUACUACUUUUAAAACUUCCUUGUAGAAUUAUUUAAUAUGUAUCAUGCCCAGAGGUAACAAGAGUCAUGGAAGUGGAGGAUGAGGGUUUUACUUACCCCAACCUUUUAUACAAAUAACAGUGUCUAGUGUGCAUCUAAGGCUUGUUGAGUAAAUGAAGCAGUAAACAAUGACAGUGGCAUUCAAAGGAGGAGUUACGGUGUGUGCUCAUCAUUUUAAGAGGUACCUCUUUGUUCAAGAACAAUGUUAUGUGAAAGAGAAUAUUCUGGACUUUUGAAGUGAC